rnacentral:rRNA from 1 species
CAGCAGCCGCGGUAAUACAGAGGGUGCAAGCGUUAAUCGGAGUUACUGGGCGUAAAGGGCGCGUAGGCGGUUAUAUAAGUGAGAUGUGAAAUCCCUGGGCUUAACCUAGGAACUGCAUCUUAUACUGUAUGGCUAGAGUAUUGUAGAGGGUAGUGGAAUUUCCGGUGUAGCGGUGAAAUGCGUAGAGAUCGGAAGGAACACCAGUGGCGAAGGCGGCUACCUGGACAAAUACUGACGCUGAGGCGCGAAAGCGUGGGGAGCAAACAGGAUUAGAUACCCCUGUAGUCCCUGUCUCUUAUAC